GACGAACGCUGGCGGCGUGCUUAACACAUGCAAGUCGAACGAUGAAGUUCCUUCGGGAAUGGAUUAGUGGCGAACGGGUGAGGAACACGUGAACAAUCUGCCCCUCACACGGGAAUAACUUCGGGAAACCGAAGCUAAUACCCGAUAUUGAAUUCGGUAGGCAUCUACUGAAUUUGAAAUGGUCCGCCGGUAAGGGAUGAGUUCGCGGCCUAUCAGCUUGUUGGUGGGGUAACGGCUCACCAAGGCGACGACGGGUAGCCGGCCUGAGAGGGCGACCGGCCACACUGGGACUGAGACACGGCCCAGACUCCUACGGGAGGCAGCAGUGGGGAAUAUUGCGCAAUGGACGAAAGUCUGACGCAGCAACGCCGCGUGAGGGAUGACGGCCUUCGGGUUGUAAACCUCUUUCAAUCGGGACGAAGCGAAAGUGACGGUACCGAUACAAGAAGCACCGGCUAACUAUGUGCCAGCAGCCGCCGCCG
rnacentral:rRNA from 1 species